rnacentral:tRNA from 1 species
GGACCGGUAGCUCAGUGGUAGAGCAACCGGCUGCAGUGCCUUCGCGCCUUCCGGUAGGUCUCGUGUUCAACUCACGAUCGGUCCU